UCCAACCCUGGUGGGUGGAUUGACGAAGAAAUAUCUCCCUCGUAGCCCCUCUCUCUCCCUCGUCUCUUCUCACCCCCCCUCCUCCCCUCCGUGCCGCUGCCUCGGAUUCCCCCCUCCCUCUCGGCCGCAAGCGCCGGCGCCGACAUGGUAUGGAAGCGGCUGCCACGUAUUCUCACCCCACGUUCCCGAUCUGGAGAGGGAGGGAAAUACACGGCCACAUGUGCGUGCGCCGUCGGGAUGUUUCUUGAGGGUAGCAUCAACCCUUGUAGGCACUGCUAGCAGCAGCAGCAGGCCUCAGUGCCGACGAAGGGAUGGCACAUGGCGCCGUCGUCGUCGAUCUAGGUAGAAGGGCAAGCCAAGAUGAACCUCUCGCAUUAUCUAGGAAGUUGUCAUGGAAGACGCCGAAGAAAAGUCCAUGAAUUUUGAUAGAGAUGGAGAACUGGACGUGCUUUGUUUCCUUGCCUUGACCGCAUCUAAUUUUGGGGAAAAGAGAGAGGAAUUUGAGAUAGGUGGACAACCUGAAGAUCUUUGAACGUUCAGGAGCAGCCAUAUCCUCAGUGCUAUGCCAGCCUCCUCGCCACUACUGUCAUGUGGAUGUGACUAUUGUUUGGCUGCUGGUGAGAUGGGCAUAGUUUCCUCCGGGUUCAUGCAUCGUGAUGGUAUUCGAACAACACCUUAAUUGGCCCAAGAAAAUUUAGGACUGUCGGAUGAUAAACCAAAUUUUUUGUUUCAUGUACUAUCAUCUCACGUUCUAAUUUUGGUGUUCUGGUAGGAAGGGAUCGGCUUUGGCGGUGUCCGGUGCUGGCAUGUCAUGUGAUUAGAGCAUAGGAAGCUAACAUGAUGUUUGGAACUCGGUGGUCAUGCUCAUUGACUAGAUGCUGCGCCUCAUGUCACCCCGGGCGUCGAAUUGCUUGAUAGCAGAGCUCACGGAGUAAAAAUAUGUCUGCAAGUACUUGUUUGCCAUAUGCCUGCCCACUCCUCCGUCUCAUCAAGCUUUCUUUUAUUUCUCUAAAUUUGUUGUGUGCAUGUAUGUGAAAAAAUAACAGGAAUAGGCCAUGCUAAGGCUUUGGCAAAGAACAUUCUUUCCCUUGCUUAUGAAAAUUUUGGUCCUUUAAUAUUGAUUCCAUAAUUUGUGAUUAAUAAAUGUUGUUGGUAUUUGAUCU